CAGCUCCAACAAGAAUUGGGGGAAGAAAUAAGAUCAUAAUAUACACAAAUUUGAUAGCUUUAGUCAUAUUUUUCAUCAUUUGAAUGCAAUGAAUAUAACACUUUUUUGAUCACUUUAUAGUGGACACAAUUCUGCUCUAUGUUCAAUUUGUUUGAUCAAAUAGUUUAGUGUCUAAAUACAUGAAUAAGUAGAAAAUUCGAGAUUAAAACUUCGAUCAUGCAUAUCACAAUAU
rnacentral:lncRNA from 1 species